UUGACAUGAAAUGUGCUACCACUCCAAUGGUAGCACCUAAAAAUGAGGGCCAAAGGCUAAAAUAGAUGGAGAGAUUAUCCAAGUUGUUGUGCCUUUUCAAUGAAGAUCAUAAGCUAGAGUUUUUGAAUUGUAGACCCGAUCUCAAAGAAGAUUUAAAAUGCCAUGCUUGCUGCUACCAAUCAUGGGUCCAUCCUAUAGAGUGGUG
rnacentral:lncRNA from 1 species